rnacentral:misc_RNA from 1 species
GAUGAAGAACGCAGCGAAACGCGAUAUGUAAUGUGAAUUGCAGAAUUCAGUGAAUCAUCGAAUCUUUGAACGCACAUGGCGCCUUCCAGUAUCCUGGGAGGCAUGCCUGUCCGAGCGUCGUUUCAACCCUCGAGCCCUCGUGGCCCGGCGUUGGGGAUCUGCCACGACAGGCCCCGAAAUACAGUGGCGGACCCGUUAGGCCCUUCCUUUGCGUAGUAGCAUCAGCCUCGCAUCGGGAGCCGGCGGGCUCUCCUGCCUCUAAACCCCCCAACAAGCCCGCUCCGGCGGCACCAAGGUUGACCUCGGAUCAGGUAGGAAUACCCGCUGAACUUAAGCAUAUCAAUAAGAGGAGGA